rnacentral:lncRNA from 1 species
AGAAAUUAGUGUUAUUUUGGAAUUUGGGGGGUUAAUUAGGAUUUAUUAGAAUUAAAGAGGAGUUAAUUGAAAAUAGAGGGAAGUUACUUUCUGGGAGUUAAGUAAAGAGAAUAUUAGAAAAAAACUGUUUUACGUGAAAUCAACUUUUGGGAGAAAAGGGAGAGAAGAGCAAGUAGAGCCAAGGAACCAAUUUGCUGUGCAUUUCUUGCAAUUGAAUUAAGGUAAGGGUGAGUUUUACUUUCAAUAGUAUAAAUUGUAAUUCUGAUUUUGAUUUAACAUGUUUCUGGUAGAAAUUGAGAAAUUUCGGAUUAGGUUUUGAUUAUUGAUUUUUGAAUGAAAAAGUGUAGAAACCAUAGAAUUGAAUGGUGAAAAGAGUGGUUAAUCAGGUAGGUUAGUGAUGGGUUAACGUUUUAAUGAUAGGGUGAUCAUAUGGUGAUGAUUAUGGAUGAUUUUGGAGAGUUUAGGGUUAAGAAUUGGAGCCAAGGAGGCUCCCAUGGUAGGAAAUCGCAGAAAAAUCUGCAAUUUCAAUAUGUCUGAUGCUGUCGAAAUCAUGAGGCGAUCCCAGUGAUCGUGAGGCGAUUUUGACAGAAAAUCUGUAAUUUCAAUAUGUCUGAUGCAUACCCUGUUUCAUGUUCGUGAGUCUUUUUCACACGUUUCUGUUUUGAGUUGGCCUUGGGUGUGAACAUGAAAGAUGAUGAUGUUUAAGCAUGAUUAUGAUUAAUUAUGCAAUUUUUUGGAAUUACUGAAUUGAUUCUGAUGAUUGUUGUUGAUUGAAUGUAUGCUUUUAUUGAAUUAAGUUAUACAUGGGUUGCAUUAUGGAGUUGUGAGUCAUAUACAUAUAUAUGCAUUUGGUCGAGUUGUAUGUAGAUAUACACAAGUGAGUCAGUCGCAUAUGCAUAAAAGCGGGAGGGCUUCUGCCCUAGAACGCCUUGUCGUUCAAAGCGGGAGGACUUAUGUCCUGGAACACCUUGUUGUUCAAAGCGGUGAGGACUUAUGUCCUGAUGAAUGCUUUAACCAUUCAAAACAGCGGUGAGGGCUUCGGCCCUGAAUAUGGUACUACAUGCAUAUUUGCAUUUGUUGAGGAGUCUAAGAUGUUGUCUUAGCGGUGUUGUCAUGUCAUUUGCAUGAGUCGGUGUUGUUGGUUGUAAAUGCCAUAUUGAUGAUGAUGAUGUUGUUUGAUGGAGUAUAUAUUUAUACACAUAUAAUGAUGAUAUGAUUGAUGAAGACUUGAUUUGAUGAUGAUGUGUUUUAUGAAGUAUAUAUUUAUAUAUAUAUAUAUAUGGUGAUGAUCUGAUUAUAUUUAGGGUGUUAGAUUCAAUUGAUGAAUUUUAAUAUCUAUAUUUUAUUGUUGUGAAUCUCAC